AUACAGUUGUAUCAUGUAUUUUUGUUCGAUAUGUAGAUCCACCUUGUCGUUGAAUGAAUAAUGAAAAGAAACAUUUCACGCGGAGAACGAUUAGUAUUAUAAUAGAGGUUAGAGGCCUAAACAAUGAGUUAAAUUUAAUUAUUCGUGACUGUUGAACAACAAUAUUUAAAAUUAAAUAAUGAAAAUAUAAUGUAUUAAAAGAAAUAUGUCCUGUGAGUCUUCUAAAGAUCGACAAGAGAACGAAAUUGAGGUUUUAAAG